rnacentral:rRNA from 1 species
GUGAACGCUGGCGGUAGGCCUAACACAUGCAAGUCGAACGGCAGCACAGUAAGAGCUUGCUCUUACGGGUGGCGAGUGGCGGACGGGUGAGGAAUACAUCGGAAUCUACUUUUUCGUGGGGGAUAACGUAGGGAAACUUACGCUAAUACCGCAUACGACCUACGGGUGAAAGCAGGGGAUCUUCGGACCUUGCGCGAUUGAAUGAGCCGAUGUCGGAUUAGCUAGUUGGCGGGGUAAAGGCCCACCAAGGCGACGAUCCGUAGCUGGUCUGAGAGGAUGAUCAGCCACACUGGAACUGAGGCACGGUCCAGACUCCUACGGGAGGCAGCAGUGGGGAAUAUUGGACAAUGGGCGCAAGCCUGAUCCAGCCAUACCGCGUGGGUGAAGAAGGCCUUCGGGUUGUAAAGCCCUUUUGUUGGGAAAGAAAAGCAGCAGGUUAAUACCCCGCUGUUCUGACGGUACCCAAAGAAUAAGCACCGGCUAACUUCGUG